AGUCGACGGUGAAGCCCAGCUUGCUGGGUGGAUCAGUGGCGAACGGGUGAGUAACACGUGAGCAACCUGCCCCGGACUCUGGGAUAAGCGCUGGAAACGGCGUCUAAUACUGGAUACGAGACGCAACCGCAUGGUUAGUGUCUGGAAAGAUUUUUCGGUCUGGGAUGGGCUCGCGGCCUAUCAGCUUGUUGGUGAGGUAAUGGCUCACCAAGGCGUCGACGGGUAGCCGGCCUGAGAGGGUGACCGGCCACACUGGGACUGAGACACGGCCCAGACUCCUACGGGAGGCAGCAGUGGGGAAUAUUGCACAAUGGGCGGAAGCCUGAUGCAGCAACGCCGCGUGAGGGAUGACGGCCUUCGGGUUGUAAACCUCUUUUAGCAGGGAAGAAGCGAUAGUGACGGUACCUGCAGAAAAAGCGCCGGCUAACUACGUGCCAGCAGCCGCGGUAAUACGUAGGGCGCAAGCGUUAUCCGGAAUUAUUGGGCGUAAAGAGCUCGUAGGCGGUCUGUCGCGUCUGCUGUGAAAACCCGAGGCUCAACCUCGGGCCUGCAGUGGGUACGGGCAGACUAGAGUGCGGUAGGGGAGAUUGGAAUUCCUGGUGUAGCGGUGGAAUGCGCAGAUAUCAGGAGGAACACCGAUGGCGAAGGCA
rnacentral:rRNA from 1 species